rnacentral:rRNA from 1 species
GACGUAGGGCGCGAGCGUUGUCCGGAUUGAUUGGGCGUAAAGAGCUCGUAGGCGGCUCGUUGCGUCGGCUGUGAAAACCCGCAGCUCAACUGUGGGCCUGCAGCUGAUACGGGCGGGCUGGAGUUCGGUAGGGGAGACUGGAAUUCCUGGUGUAGCGGUGAAAUGCGCAGAUAUCAGGAGGAACACCGGUGGCGAAGGCGGGUCUCUGGGCCGAUACUGACGCUGAGACGCGAAAGCGUGGGGAGCGAACAGG